CAGCCGCCGCGGGAAUACGAAGGGUGCAAGCGUUACUCGGAAUUACUGGGCGUAAAGCGUGCGUAGGUGGUGGUUUAAGUCCGUUGUGAAAGCCCUGGGCUCAACCUGGGAAUUGCAGUGGAUACUGGGUCACUAGAGUGUGGUAGAGGAUAGUGGAAUUUCCGGUGUAGCAGUGAAAUGCGUAGAGAUCGGAAGGAACAUCUGUGGCGAAGGCGACUAUCUGGGCCAACACUGACGCUGAGGAGCGAAAGCGUGGGGAGCGAACAGGAUUAGAUACCCCAGUAGUCCCUGUCUCUUAUAC
rnacentral:rRNA from 1 species